rnacentral:misc_RNA from 1 species
AAGGAGUCUAACAUAUAUGCGAGUAUUUGGGUGGCAAACCCAAGUGCGGAAUGAAAGUGAUAAGGUGGAAUCUACGGAGCACCAUCGACCGGUCUUGAUUUUUUGAGGGAUCUGAGUAAGAGCAUAUCUGUUGGGACCCGAAAGAUGGUGAACUAUGCCUGAAUAGGGUGAAGCCAGAGGAAACUCUGGUGGAGGCUCGUAGCGAUUCUGACGUGCAAAUCGAUCGUCAAAUUUGGGUAUAGGGGCGAAAGACUAAUCGAACCAUCUAGUAGCUGGUUCCCUC